rnacentral:rRNA from 1 species
AGAGUUUUCGAUCCUGGCUACAGGACGAACGCUGGCGGGCGUGCCUAACACAUGCAAGUCGAACGGAGCUAGAUGCUGAGGACGUAGCUUGCUAUUGAAUCUUGUUUAGCUUAGUGGCGGACGGGUGAGUAACGCGUGAGCAACCUACCUUUCAGAGGGGGAUAACGUUUGGAAACGAACGCUAAUACCGCAUGAUAUUAUUGGGCAGCAUUGCCUGAUAAUCAAAGGAGCAAUCCGCUGAAAGAUGGGCUCGCGUCCGAUUAGGUAGUUGGCGGGGUAACGGCCCACCCAAGCCGACGAUCGGUAGCCGGACUGAGGGGUUGAACGGCCACAUUGGGACUGAGACACGGCCCAGACUCCUACGGGAGGCAGCAGUGAGGGAUAUUGGUCAAUGGGGGAAACCCUGAACCAGCAACGCCGCGUGAGGGAAGACGGUUUUCGGAUUGUAAACCUCUGUCCUCUGUGAAGAUGAUGACGGUAGCAGAGGAGGAAGCUCCGGCUAACUACGUG